GGUUCCCUGCGUCACUUGGACUUCCAAUACAGAUACAAUCGCAAUAUGCUAGACACAUGAAACGACAAACUUUCAUAGUUGCGUACUACCACUACCAUACACAUUUUUCUUGUCGCAGAUCCAAGUAGCUCUUCUACAUACUCCGUUACUGCCUAGGUGGCAUCAAGGGAGCAAACAAUGACACCAAUAACACCACCAGAACUAUGUAUGAAUUUUUCCACUUUAAAAACUAAUGGACUUGCCGAAUCCCAUCCAAACCAAGUGACCUCUGUCUCUUUCACGAGUCUUUGCUCUAAUCAUCAUGGCCUGUCCCGGUUUGACAUGAACAAGGUUUGUCAUAAUCUAAGUGGACGAUAAUUUAGUUAAGUUACUUAUUUUCCAAUGCUCAAUUGUACUAAGCAAAUGUGCAUGCCCUACCUAUAAAUAUGUAUUUAGGAGAGCACUGCCACGAAUGCUCAAGGC
rnacentral:lncRNA from 1 species